ACUCUGGGCGUGGCGGGCAGGGGUGCUUCCGCCGUGGGCUUAGGUCAGGGCGAGGCCAGAGCCCUGGAAAGCAAAAGGGAAAGGCAGGCCUGAUGUGGAGAAACCGAGGCAAAUCACGAUGCCUCCAGGCGGCUGUCGGGACGCCGGCCCGGGGCUCCCGAGGCGGGACCUCCGCCUGCCGCCACCACUCACCACGCUGAUGACACCCUAUUAGCAGUCAUGGGGUUGCCAGGGCCUCGCAAUGACUUGGUCCAGGUCACGUACAAGGGCCGGAAUCCUCACCCCAGCUGUAGCCUUGAUGUCGGAAGUUCAGUGGGGCACUGGCGGGACCUGAACUUCCCAGCUCCCUGUGCUUGAGUGAGGCGAUGUAACUAGUUCUACCCAAUGACCUGGAAGCGGAAGGGACACGUAGUCAUUUGGGGGCAGGAGACUGUCAGUGUGAGACCCUUCUCAAUGGCACGGCCACUGGGAGUGUUUGGGAGGGUGGCCGCGCCGUCAGCCCCGGCACCUGCAGUGAGCACAGCGCCUCUCACCCCCGCCCCCGACGGCCUGAGAUGUCCACUGACCAUGGCGAGACAUAAACGUUUGUGGUUUGAAGGCACUAAGAUUCAGGAGUUGUUUGUUCGGCUGCAAAGCUUCGCGUCCUCUGACUGACGCCAGGCCCUAACGUGUACCAAGCUGUGGAUGCAGUGGUGGACAACUCAGACGAGAGAACCAGUAGAUGGACAAGCAACCUGAGAACUCCCGAUGACCUCAGACUGGGUGGUCAGAAAAAGGUCUCUCUUCAUAUACACACUACCAUGUGCAAAACAGAGAGCUAGCGGGAACCUGCGGUACAGCACAGGGCGCUCAGCUCGGUGCUCCGUGACCUCCUAGAUGGGUGGGCUGGGCGGGCGGUGGGAGGGAGGGGAUAGGUGUAUACACAUAGCUGAUUCACUUCGUUGUACAGCAGAAACUAACACAACGUUGUAAAGCAACUGUGCCCCCAUUUAAAAUUUAAAAAAAAAAGUCUUUCUCAGGAGGCGACAUUUAAGCUGGGACCUGAAGGACGCAAAGGAAUCAGUGUCAGGAAAGGUUGGGAGUGAGGGGAAGGAGAGGACCUUCCGAGCGGAGGAACAAGCCGCAGAGACAGCGGCCAGGAGGCGUGGACGGAGCACCGUGGGCGGGGCGGGCGGGUGAGACCCCAGAGGGUGCAGAGGGAGGUGGGAUCUGGAUCAUGCGGGGGCUCCUAGGUUAGGGUGAGGAGAUUGGAAUGUGUUCCAAGUGUGACAGGAAGCCACUUAGGAGGUUCAAGUCUGCAGGCGGACAGGCUUUGAUUUAGGUUUUAGAAAGACCACUCUCGCUAUCGUGUAGAGGUCGAGCUGUGAGGGGCAGGUGUGGGCGUGGGGCUUAGAAGGCUGUUCAGGGGUCCAAGCAAAGUGGGGUCCGCAGGGCCAGAGGCUGGAAGGGAGACCUGCCCUCAGGAGGUUCGGGGAGAUUUGCAGAAGGAGGGGAGCAAAAGCACUGAACAGAAGGUCCUCCUGCCAAAUCCCAGAGGAAGCAGAGGCAAGGCUGGACGUCGGGACCCCAGAGGUGCACUGACUCCAGGGAGACGGGCACUCAAGAGCCAGGUGGAGCGGGGCUUGUGGAGUCACGGGGUGUGGAGCAGACAGCUGGCCAGUUUCCUAGAACAUCAGCCAGAACAGCCCUGGAUGGUAUUAUUGGAAAGAGUCUGACAAGCUCUGACAUCCCUGUGGGCAUUUGAUACUUGGUGACCGCCUCGAUUAGAGGGGGGCCACCGAUCUAUAGACGGAAAAAAGCCAUUCCUACCUACUGACGGCGGGAAGAAUCUACUGUAAACAGCAAGACUAGAUGGGGUGCAUCUCCAGUGAUCCAGUCACCUUGCUACUCUGUGUUUCCCCAGCCCUCAGUGCCCUGCACUUCCUGUUCUCAGGAACGGGUCUCACAGGCUCAUUCACACACAGGAAUAAAUGACUAAAGACAGCUCAGUGCAGGACUUCCCUGGCGGUCCAGUGGUUAAGACUGCGCUUCCAAUGCAGGAGACACGGGUUCAAUCCCCGGUAGGGGAGCUAAGAUCCCGCAUGGCGCGGCCAAAAAGAAAAAAAAAAAAGACGGCUCUGUGGGUUCCCAUUCCUUCCUGGGCCUUUGCAUCGUCCAAAACUAAAACCUGAAGUCUUAGGUCAGGGCAAGUAUUUAGGGGAGGACCAGAGAACUUUAGUUCACACAAGUAGCAUGGAGUGACUUAUCCGUCCCCGGGAAGAGGUCCCGACUCCUGCGUUCUCACUUGGAAUCCUCCUCCAAAGUCUGGGGAACAGCCCCAAGCCUCCCCUUCCUUGCAGCCUUUCGCUGGCAGCUACCAACAAAAGCCCCUGGUGCUCACUUAUUCCUAAACGUGUUCAAAAUCUUGCCUUUGGUGUUCAGUUUAGUUACUGUCACUGAAAAAGACUGUUUUAUCAAGAGCUUCUCUCUCACCGUUACCACCUUCCUUGUGGUCUCUACGGACCUAGGCAGGCAGCAGGAACUAACCAGACGACAUCCCAGCAGUUGCCCUGCAGAAGCCCCGUAAUUAGGUGGAGGAGCUUUCCCUUCCAAAAGAGGCGACUCCACUUGGGACGCACGUUAGAAAACAAUGAUUCCUUGCUAGCUGAGCUCUUGAAUCAGCUGCACUUAUCCUUCUGCCAUCACAGCUUACCAAGAGUUGUCCCCCAGAAAUGAGGGCAAGUCUGUCUUGCCAUUAAGUAAUAAGUCUUCAUCGUUGUGGCUCAACCCACCGCGUGCCAGCUCAUCCUCUCCCCCUCCCACUCUGGGGACACACACGCUCUGUGGUUCCACAGUAACCACCACCAAGAUCCAGUGCUGACCUCCAGGUAACCAGAGCAAAAGUCCUGCAGGGUGACAGCGGCAAAGCCCUCGAGGGUGAGCGAAAAUGAGCCCCGAGUGUCUGGAUUCUGUGCUGAGCUCUCUGCAACACGAAACACUAGCCAUGGUCUCCCAGGAAGCCGGCCCCCUCUAACAGCAUGAGCCCAGCCGUGCUCCUGAGCUGCAGAUGCAUGAGCCCCACGGAGCCUAGCUCUGGGCGGCUAGGUGGACACGCGGACAGACAGAGAGGACGCGGGGACACACAAACUUGAGCUAGGAGGAGGGAUGAGGAAAGAAGUGAUGCUGGCUGUGUAGGGGAGCGAACCUUGCCACCCCAAAAUGUGUCUCUUCAGCUUGCACAUUAUUUUGAGCUAAAUACAAUCAAGGCCCAAAAGACUUCGACCCUCCCCCUAACUAACCGCCUAGAGAAUUUAGAUGGAGGGCCUGUUCCGGGAAGAACUAUCGCUGCAGAAAACCGUAAUAUAAUAACAUGAGUGAGGGGUGGUCGACGGGGGAAACCAGCAAGGCCCGUGCGAUCACAGAGCACCUCCGUGUCCCAAUGCCCCUGCACAGCCCGGCAAACAUCUGUUAUCCAACAUUUGCUCAUUUGCUUCUUUCAUCUGCCUGUAAAUUGCCUUCGUCCCCUUUGAAGGCCAACCCCACCCGCUCUCCUCCUGGAUGGCGCGUAAGGCUCACCUGCGUGACUUGUGCUGGGCCCGUGUUCUUAGGGGGCCCCUGUAUGUACCUAAUUACAGUCGACUUCCCCUGUGAA